rnacentral:rRNA from 1 species
CAGUAGCCGCGGUAAUACGUAGGUGGCAAGCGUUGUCCGGAAUUAUUGGGCGUAAAGGGCUCGCAGGCGGUUUCUUAAGUCUGAUGUGAAAGCCCCCGGCUCAACCGGGGAGGGUCAUUGGAAACUGGGAAACUUGAGUGCAGGAGAGGAGAGUGGAAUUCCACGUGUAGCGGUGAAAUGCGUAGAGAUGUGGAGGAACACCAGUGGCGAAGGCGACUCUCUGGUCUGUAACUGACGCUGAGGAGCGAAAGCGUGGGGAGCGAACAGGAUUAGAUACCCCAGUAGUCCCUGUCUCUUAUAC